rnacentral:rRNA from 1 species
UUAAGCGACUAAGCGUACACGGUGGAUGCCCUGGCAGUCAGAGGCGAUGAAGGACGUGCUAAUCUGCGAAAAGCGUCGGUAAGGUGAUAUGAACCGUUACAGCCGGCGAUGUCCGAAUGGGGAAACCCAGUGCAAUUCGUUGCACUAUCGUUAACUGAAUACAUAGGUUAACGAGGCGAACCGGGGGAACUGAAACAUCUAAGUACCCCGAGGAAAAGAAAUCAACCGAGAUUCCCCCAGUAGCGGCGAGCGAACGGGGAGCAGCCCAGAGUCUGAAUCAGCUUGUGUUAGUGGAACGGUCUGGAAAGUCCGACGGUACAGGGUGAUAGUCCCGUACACCAAAAUGCACAGGUUGUGAACUCGAAGAGUAGGGCGGGACACGUGGUAUCCUGUCUGAAUAUGGGGACCAUCCUCCGCUAAAUACUCCUGACUGACCGAUAGUGAACCAGUACCGUGAGGGAAAGGCGAAAAGAACCCCGGCGAGGGGAGUGAAAAGAACCUGAAACCGUGUACGUACAAGCAGUGGGAGCACCUUCGGGUGUGACUGCGUACCUUUGUAUAAUGGGUCAGCGACUUAUAUUCUGUAGCAAGGUUAACCGUAUAGGGGAGCCGCAGGGAAACCGAGUCUUAACUGGGCGUUAAGUUGCAGGGUAUAGACCCGAAACCCGGUGAUUCAGCCAUGGGCAGGUUGAAGGUUGGGUAACACUAACUGGAGGACCGAACCGACUAAUGUUGAAAAAUUAGCGGAUGACUUGUGGCUGGGGGUGAAAGGCCAAUCAAACCGGGAGAUAGCUGGUUCUCCCCGAAAGCUAUUUAGGUAGCGCCUCGUGAACUCAUCUUCGGGGGUAGAGCACUGUUUCGGCUAGGGGGUCAUCCCGACUUACCAACCCGAUGCAAACUACGAAUACCGAAGAAUGUUAUCACGGGAGACACACGGCGGGUGCUAACGUCCGUCGUGAAGAGGGAAACAACCCAGACCGCCAGCUAAGGUCCCAAAGUCAUGGUUAAGUGGGAAACGAUGUGGGAAGGCACAGACAGCCAGGAUGUUGGCUUAGAAGCAGCCAUCAUUUAAAGAAAGCGUAAUAGCUCACUGGUCGAGUCGGCCUGCGCGGAAGAUGUAACGGGGCUAAACCAUGCACCGAAGCUGCGGCAGCGACACUAUGUGUUGUUGGGUAGGGGAGCGUUCUGUAAGCCUGCGAAGGUGUGCUGUGAGGCAUGCUGGAGGUAUCAGAAGUGCGAAUGCUGACAUAAGUAACGAUAAAGCGGGUGAAAAGCCCGCUCGCCGGAAGACCAAGGGUUCCUGUCCAACGUUAAUCGGGGCAGGGUGAGUCGACCCCUAAGGCGAGGCCGAAAGGCGUAGUCGAUGGGAAACAGGUUAAUAUUCCUGUACUUGGUGUUACUGCGAAGGGGGGACGGAGAAGGCUAUGUUAGCCGGGCGACGGUUGUCCCGGUUUAAGCAUGUAGGCUGAUUGUCCAGGCAAAUCCGGAUAAUCAAGGCUGAGGUGUGAUGACGAGGCACUACGGUGCUGAAGUAACAAAUGCCCUGCUUCCAGGAAAAGCCUCUAAGCAUCAGGUAACAUUAAAUCGUACCCCAAACCGACACAGGUGGUCAGGUAGAGAAUACCAAGGCGCUUGAGAGAACUCGGGUGAAGGAACUAGGCAAAAUGGUGCCGUAACUUCGGGAGAAGGCACGCUGGUGUGUAGGUGAAGUCCCUGCGGAUGGAGCUGAGACCAGUCGAAGAUACCAGCUGGCUGCAACUGUUUAUUAAAAACACAGCACUGUGCAAACACGAAAGUGGACGUAUACGGUGUGACGCCUGCCCGGUGCCGGAAGGUUAAUUGAUGGGGUUAUCCGUAAGGAGAAGCUCUUGAUCGAAGCCCCGGUAAACGGCGGCCGUAACUAUAACGGUCCUAAGGUAGCGAAAUUCCUUGUCGGGUAAGUUCCGACCUGCACGAAUGGCGUAAUGAUGGCCAGGCUGUCUCCACCCGAGACUCAGUGAAAUUGAACUCGCUGUGAAGAUGCAGUGUACCCGCGGCAAGACGGAAAGACCCCGUGAACCUUUACUAUAGCUUGACACUGAACAUUGAGCCUUGAUGUGUAGGAUAGGUGGGAGGCUUUGAAGCGUGGACGCCAGUCUGCGUGGAGCCAACCUUGAAAUACCACCCUUUAAUGUUUGAUGUUCUAACGUUGGCCCCUGACCGGGGUUGCGGACAGUGUCUGGUGGGUAGUUUGACUGGGGCGGUCUCCUCCCAAAGCGUAACGGAGGAGCACGAAGGUUAGCUAAUCCUGGUCGGACAUCAGGAGGUUAGUGCAAUGGCAUAAGCUAGCUUGACUGCGAGCGUGACGGCGCGAGCAGGUGCGAAAGCAGGUCAUAGUGAUCCGGUGGUUCUGAAUGGAAGGGCCAUCGCUCAACGGAUAAAAGGUACUCCGGGGAUAACAGGCUGAUACCGCCCAAGAGUUCAUAUCGACGGCGGUGUUUGGCACCUCGAUGUCGGCUCAUCACAUCCUGGGGCUGAAGUAGGUCCCAAGGGUAUGGCUGUUCGCCAUUUAAAGUGGUACGCGAGCUGGGUUUAGAACGUCGUGAGACAGUUCGGUCCCUAUCUGCCGUGGGCGCUGGAGAAUUGAGGGGGGCUGCUCCUAGUACGAGAGGACCGGAGUGGACGCAUCACUGGUGUUCGGGUUGUCAUGCCAAUGGCACUGCCCGGUAGCUAAAUGCGGAAGAGAUAAGUGCUGAAAGCAUCUAAGCACGAAACUUGCCCCGAGAUGAGUUCUCCCUGAGACUAUAAGUCUCCUGAAGGAACGUUAAAGACGAUGACGUUGAUAGGCCGGGUGUGUAAGCGCAGCGAUGCGUUGAGCUAACCGGUACUAAUGAACCGUGAGGCUUAACCU